rnacentral:tRNA from 1 species
CUUAGCUCAGUUGGUAGAGCAAUUGACUCUUAAUCAAUGGGUCCAGGGUUCGAAUCCCUGA